rnacentral:misc_RNA from 1 species
UUGUGGAGGAGGACGCCGAAGGUGGGGCUAAUGACUGGGGUGAAGUCGUAACAAGGUAGCCGUACCGGAAGGUGCGGCUGGAUCACCUCCUAACAGGGAGACAACAAAAUGUUAAAUAUUAUUAUUUUGUCACCUUAGGUCGAUCGGUAUCUCACAUUCUUAAUUUAUUAAGGAUUUUAUUUCCUAAGUUUUUCUAGGUCACACCCAUUUUUUUCCUGGGCCAUUAGCUCAGGUGGUUAGAGCGCACCCCUGAUAAGGGUGAGGUCCCUGGUUCAAGUCCAGGAUGGCCCAUCAUAUCUCUAUGUUGGGGGUAUAGCUCAGUUGGUAGAGCGCCUGCUUUGCAAGCAGGAUGUCAGCGGUUCGAGUCCGCUUACCUCCACUGAUUACCACCUCUUCCAUAAAUUUAUCGAAAGGAAAUUUUGAGUUGUGAUCUUAUUCUGAACGAAUCUAGCCUCCUAAUGUAAUCAUUAAGAUGCUGGACUCAGUGAAUUAAUUUCAUUGUUUUCAGAGAACCUUGACAACUGCAUAGAUUAUUUUUAAAGACAAUAAGCAUCUUUAGUGAUGCAGAUUUAUUAUUUGUGCUGAUGCAUUAAUAACAAUUCUAUUAAGCUGAUGCUUCAAUUUUGAAGUUAUUGGUCAAGCUACAA